rnacentral:rRNA from 1 species
AGAGUUUGAUCCUGGCUCAGAACGAACGCUGGCGGCGUGCCUAACACAUGCAAGUCGAGCGAGAAAGUCCGCAAGGAUGAGUAAAGCGGCGCACGGGUGAGUAACACGUGGGUAAUCUUCCUUGGAGCCCGGAAUAACUCCCCGAAAGGGGUGCUAAUACCGGAUGAGACCACGGGAUCUUCGGAUCCUGAGGGAAAAGGCGGCCUCUGUACACAAGCUGUCACUUCAAGAUGAGCCCGCGGCCCAUCAGCUAGUUGGCGGGGUAAUGGCCCACCAAGGCUACGACGGGUAGCUGGUCUGAGAGGACGAUCAGCCACACUGGAACUGAGACACGGUCCAGACUCCUACGGGAGGCAGCAGUGGGGAAUCUUGCGCAAUGGGCGAAAGCCUGACGCAGCAACGCCGCGUGUGUGAUGAAGGUCUUCGGAUCGUAAAGCACUGUCGGGAGGGACGAAUAAGGUGACGGCUAACACCCGUCGCUGAUGACGGUACCUCCAAAGGAAGCACCGGCUAACUCUGUGCCAGCAGCCGCGGUAAUACAGAGGGUGCUAGCGUUGUUCGGAAUUAUUGGGCGUAAAGCGCGUGUAGGCGGCCAGGCAAGUUGGGUGUGAAAGCCCUCGGCUUAACCGAGGAAGUGCGCCCAAAACUACUUGGCUUGAGUACCGGAGAGGGUGGCGGAAUUCCCGGUGUAGAGGUGAAAUUCGUAGAUAUCGGGAGGAACACCAGUGGCGAAGGCGGCCACCUGGACGGAUACUGACGCUGAGACGCGAAAGCGUGGGGAGCAAACAGGAUUAGAUACCCUGGUAGUCCACGCUGUAAACGAUGAGCGCUAGGUGUUGUGGGUGUUGACCCCCGCAGUGCCGCAGCUAACGCAUUAAGCGCUCCGCCUGGGAAGUACGGCCGCAAGGCUAAAACUUAAAGGAAUUGAUGG